CCUACCCUGACUACCUUCUCCGGAAAUUGUUGCUCCUAGCUAUGCUGUAGUUAGGAAUAGGAUACAACAAAAUUAUGCUUAUUUAUUCGGCCAUUCCAAACAGAGAAUGCUGUAGUUAGGAUACAACAGAUGAGACAAAGUAAUUACCUCAGUGAAAUUCUCAGAUUUGGUUUUCUCCAGGAACUCAAUAGAUUCAAAUACCCUUUCAAUGUCAAUCGUUGUUCCGAAUUCCAGUAGCUUCCUGUUGUAGUUAAUUCCAAGGACGUGACACAAUGCAUGAAGUUCUGCGAGGGCUGCAAUUCAGAAUAAAUUACAGACGAGUUAGGUGGGGGAUAGGAAGCAACUAACCAAGGGUUUGGUGAUCCAGUUGGGAUUUAAAGUUCCACAUCACAUAGAAAACAAACAUAUAGCCCAAGGGUGAUCCAAUUGUACACGGAGACGUAAGAAAUUUGGGAUAAAGUGCAGAGUUGAUGCGAUUUUAGGUACACAGUUCGAUCGAGGGGAAGAAAGACGGAGAUCAUACCACUAUCAUUUGCUUCAUCGGUGUUCUGCACAGGUACAACCUCAACCUGCUGAGGAUUCUUCUCAGGAAUCGCGUUCCCAUCCGCAUCCCCGUCGUUCUCGGGCGGAUUUGGGCCCCAGGCAGCCCAGGCCAUUGCCUGGGGCGUGGGAAAUUUUCUAGGCCUAGAUUUUUUUAAAAAAGUGUUCGGCCUGGGGCGCAGCCCACUUCCAAGCCCAGGCAGCCCAGGCGAACUGGCCCGGUCGCCCAGGCCGACUCCCUCUGCCCGCACGAACGCGCAACCCUCACCGCCCGCAGAGACGAACCAGCCGCAACCGCCCCUUCUGCUUCUUCCCCCGACUUGACGAACCCUAGGCGCCGCCACCGCCUGCCGUCGGUGCCGCCACUGCCUGCCGUCGUGCCUGCCAGCUCCGUCCGGCAGCGCCCCCGGGCUCCCCCCACCUUCCAGUCUUCGCUCCCUUCUGCUUCUGCGGCGUCCCCGCGUCAGGUUGCGCCGCUGCCGGCUGCUGGCCUGUCCGGCGAGGGCGCGAGGCGGCGACCCCGGCUAGGCAGCUACGGCGGCUAGGGCGCGAGGCUACAUGCUUUUGCAAAUGCUCUUGUGCUGUUGUGCACAUUCAUCCCAGCCAGUAUCCCAGCCACUUGGACUCUACUAAUUCAACUCUGAAGAAGAACAAGGUUAAUGAUAUAAGAGGACUCCAAAACUUGGCCAAGUCAUUAUCUGCACAGGGUUCUGGUCAGUUCUGUAAUGCCAUGAAUAGUAUAAAUUAUGCAUUGAGAAACUGUUUCUGCUUUAACUGGAGAAAUAACUUAAAUGCCAUGAGUGAAUACACAUUCUAUUCAUGACCAUGUAGUCUUCAUGAAGCUGUUGGAUAGCAUAGCAUACCUUAAACCUUGCAGUAGUCAGGGUAAUGAAUCUUCUGUUUGAUCUUUUAAAUCAGCCGUGGCACAGCGCAAAGCUACGAGACAAAUUUCAGUACUUGAAGAAAAAAUUGUGAUUAAAUAGCAGAAGAAGACUUGAUGGCCGUUUGGAAAGAAAUAAAAGCUGCCUUAAUCUAUUACUUGUAUUUUGUUAGCACACCAAGUUAGGUCUUGCAAAAGUUGGCAACAGCUUAAAUUAGUGCUGAAAGAUGGUUAUAAAUGUUCAAAUUAGACCCAUGUUUCUUUCUUUCUUAUGUUACUAUAGGACAAAGCUUUGUGCCGAAUAGGCAGAAAAGGGAAGCCAUGUAUUUGGUGAUACAUGUGGCAGAAUAGCAUAGUGUAGAAGAACCAAGUUCUUUUGUAAGGAAGCAUAACUUCAAAUGAACUGUUUUGAGUAAUUUUUUAUGAUGAUUUUA